UAUUUGGUACGGAUUCAAUCUGUGUCACAGUGCCUCUUCUGCACAUGAUCGACGAAUUCAGGGAUGGUUUGUGUUAAUCUUUCUAUCAGUUGUUGUUGUUGCUGUUAUAUUGUAAUCCUUAAUCAUGUGAUGUCUGGUUAUAAAAAUUCUGAGCUAGGGCCUUAUGGUAUUAACUAGUAAUAGUUGAAGUUGUGGCUAAUUGCUGUACUGGCACAGAUUUCAGGAAAGAACCAUACAUCUUGCAGAUCAUUGUUAAUUUAAGAUAAAUUUUAAUACGUUUUAAUUAUAAAAAUUUUAA
rnacentral:misc_RNA from 1 species